AACGUGGGCGCGCAGUCCCAGCUUCCUGACAGCUGGGAGCAUCUGAACUUGCACUUGGGUGCCCGCAGCGCGUGCUCACCCGCGGCGCGGCUCUGCUGCAGCCCCACUUACUCUGCUUGGCCUUUCCUAGCACUUCCGCGUCCUGGGCUCCUUUCCGUCUUAACUUUUCUUCUGUCCACGGCCCUGCAACAACAGCAUUUGAGGUGAAGAUGGAGCAAUUAGGAGAAAUACAUUUCGGUUCUUUUAUGAAGAAAGUUUAUUACAUGUACCUUUUGAAUGAAAGGAAACUCCCUGGAAGGAAUUCAUUGAGAAUUUCAUUUUGUUCAGCUCAGAAGAUAACUCAGAUGCUGGCUUAAAGCCCAUCAGAAGAUCAACCAGUCUCCCAACCCAGCCACCAACCAAUAAACCAGCCAGCGUUUGUCAAAGGCUCACUUUGUUGUUCUUGGAACAGUGUUUGUUUGGUGCUGUGGGAAAUGCCGAAGCAAGACCAGACAGGGUCCCUGCCACCCUGGUGCUUGUAAUCUACAUGGGGAGACAAGACAAAGAAAGCUACACGACACAAUUACAGAAUCUGACAGAAUAUAAUAAAGUGCUAAAUUGUGUGGUGUAGGCAAUUAGAGAACAAGACAGUAUAUAAUAAAGUGCUAAUUGUGUGGUACAGACAAUAAGUAUAAUAGGAGUUCAGUGAAGGGAUGGAUGAGUGUGGGCUGUAGUCUUCAGGAAAGGCUUCUCAUCAUGUCAGGCUGCCGUGUUUAUCCAGUGCAUGAUGGGAAACUGAAUAUGAAAUAGAAGAUGGAUUAAGAGCAGAAUAACUGUGCUGUACCAUGACAUCUCCUCUCAGUCUGGGCGAGGACAGAAAGAGAAGGAGUUCUUUGACAGGUGGCAUUCCCCAUUAAAAAAAAAAAAAAAAUCAAAUGGAGAAAGGCCUUAUUUUCUUUAUUAAUUGUGUUACAGAAAAUUUCCUCUGAAACUUAUUUUAGCAGUUUUAAAAAAAAUUUUAUUUAUUUAUUUUUGGCUGUGUUGGGUCUUCGUUUCUGUGCGAGGGCUUUCUCUAGUUGCGGCGAGUGGGGGCCACUCUUCAUCGCGGUGCGCGGGCCUCUCACUAUCGCGGCCUCUCUUGUUGCGGAGCACAGGCUCCAGAUGCGCAGGCUCAGUAGUUGUGGCUCACGGGCCUAGUUGCUCUGCGGCAUGUGGGAUCUUCCCAGACCAGGGCUCGAACCCGUGUCCCCUGCAUUGGCAGGCAUGUUCUCAACCACUGCGCCACCAGGGAAGCCCCUGAAACUUAUUUUAAAUGGAAUAAUGUGUUACGUACACUAGGAGAGUUCAGUGUUUAAAGAAACUAUGUUGUAAGUCCUUUUCAUUAAUGAAGAAUACUUUUGCAUAAUAGAUAAUCACUUCCUAGUUUACACAAGAUUCCUUAAAGCAAGUAAAUAGAUACUCUUGAAUACUACUGGUGGGACUGACAAACCUAUUGCAAGGUAAUUUGGCAAUGUGUACCUCAAAUCUUGAAAAUGUGCAUAUUCUUCAGCUUGUCAAUUUCACUUCUGGGAAUUUAUCCUAAGGAAGUAAUCACGACUGACUGCAAGAAUAACUUUUCUGCAAGGGUAAUUAUCACAGAGUUGAGAGAAACUGGGGACAACCUGAAUGCCCUCAAAUAAAGGACUGAUGAAAUAAAUUAACACACAUUUAGAAAAUGGCAUGUGUAAUUACUAAAAUACUGUAGAAAAAUAUUUAAUAUAGUGGAAAAUAUUUACAAAAUGUGGGUAAGUGAAAAAAGCAAAUUCUAAAA